rnacentral:rRNA from 1 species
UACAGAGGGUGCGAGCGUUAAUCGGAAUUACUGGGCGUAAAGCGUGCGUAGGCGGCUAUCUAAGUCGGGUGUGAAAGCCCCGGGCUCAACCUGGGAAUUGCAUUCGAGACUGAAUAGCUAGGGUACGGUAGAGGGAAGCGGAAUUUCCGGUGUAGCGGUGAAAUGCGUAGAUAUCGGAAGGAACAUCAGUAGCGAAAGCGGCUUCCUGGACCAGUACCGACGUUCAGGCACGAAAGCGUGGGGAGCAAACAGG